CCGACCUGAGAGGGUGAUCGGCCACACUGGAACUGAGACACGGUCCAGACUCCUACGGGAGGCAGCAGUAGGGAAUCUUCCGCAAUGGGCGAAAGCCUGACGGAGCAACGCCGCGUGAGUGAUGAAGGUCUUCGGAUCGUAAAGCUCUGUUGUUAGGGAAGAACAAAUGUGUAAGUAACUGUGCACAUCUUGACGGUACCUAACCAGAAAGCCACGGCUAACUACGUGCCAGCAGCCGCGGUAAUACGUAGGUGGCAAGCGUUAUCCGGAAUUAUUGGGCGUAAAGCGCGCGUAGGCGGUUUUUUAAGUCUGAUGUGAAAGCCCACGGCUCAACCGUGGAGGGUCAUUGGAAACUGGAAAACUUGAGUGCAGAAGAGGAAAGUGGAAUUCCAUGUGUAGCGGUGAAAUGCGCAGAGAUAUGGAGGAACACCAGUGGCGAAGGCGGCUUUCUGGUCUGCAACUGACGCUGAUGUGCGAAAGCGUGGGGAUCAAACAGGAUUAGAUACCCUGGUAGUCCACGCCGUAAACGAUGAGUGCUAAGUGUUAGGGGGUUUCCGCCCCUUAGUGCUGCAGCUAACGCAUUAAGCACUCCGCCUGGGGAGUACGGUCGCAAGACUGAAACUCAAAGGAAUUGACGG
rnacentral:rRNA from 1 species